AAUAUUACUCGAAGCGGUUUUUAAAAUAUUGUUAAAGCAGACUAUGAAUUUUUAAAGAGAUUAUAGAAAUUUCAGGAGUAAGUUACUGAAUAAUAAUGUAGUUUUUUGUAAUAUCUAAAAGUUCAAAACCGAAAAUCCUACAUUUUUUAUAGGCGAGAUCCACACAAUAUUCAUCUUCUUUGGAGAAAAAAUUCUUUCCAACAUGUCGAAUCCAACACUUCUACCAAAGAGAUUUACCACCGAACCAAUACCAUAUUGGUAAUAAUGUAGUUUUAC
rnacentral:sRNA from 1 species